rnacentral:rRNA from 1 species
AUUGAACGCUGGCGGCAGGCCUAACACAUGCAAGUCGAGCGGGGUUUUCGGACCUAGCGGCGGACGGGUGAGUAAUGCGUAGGAAGCUGCCCGAUAGAGGGGGAUACCAGUUGGAAACGACUGUUAAUACCGCAUAAUGUCUACGGACCAAAGUGUGGGACCUUCGGGCCACAUGCUAUCGGAUGCGCCGACGUGGGAUUAGCUAGUUGGUGAGGUAAUGGCUCACCAAGGCGACGAUCUCUAGCUGGUUUACGAGGAUGAUCAGCCACACUGGAACUGAGACACGGUCCAGACUCCUACGGGAGGCAGCAGUGGGGAAUAUUGGACAAUGGGCGCAAGCCUGAUCCAGCCAUGCCGCGUGUGGGAAGAAGGCCUUCGGGUUGUAAAGCACUUUCAGCGAGGAGGAAGGGUGGUGUGUUAAUAGCACACACCUUUGACGUUACUCGCAGAAGAAGCACCGGCUAACUCUGUGCCAGCCGCCGCCGUAAAAC